rnacentral:tRNA from 1 species
GGUUUGUGGUUCAGUGGUAGAGCACUUGCCUGGCAUGUGUGAGCUACUGGGUUUAAUUCUCAGCACCG